UUCCAUCAUUCAUGUUUCCCCUCAUUCAUAACCAUAUGCUACCAGCCUACCACCAACUCCACUCCCAUCAUUCCUCAGAGGUGAAAGGAGGAAGAAGCAAAGGCAAGCUUGCAUCAACAAAAGCAUAAAUAAGAGGCAAGCUUGCAUCAACAACCAUGAAUCCUUCUCCACCACUGCAGUAAACCCCAGAGGUCAGAACAAAGCUCCUCCACCGUCCUCACUUUCGGUCGCUCCGCCACCGUAUCUCCGGUCACCGCUCGCCGUGCAAUCUCUGCCCAGCCAC
rnacentral:lncRNA from 1 species